rnacentral:rRNA from 1 species
GACGAACGCUGGCGGCGUGCUUAACACAUGCAAGUCGAACGGAAAGGCCCUGCUUUUGUGGGGUGCUCGAGUGGCGAACGGGUGAGUAACACGUGGGUAACCUGCCCUUGACUUUGGGAUAACUUCAGGAAACUGGGGCUAAUACCGGAUAGGAGCUCCUGCUGCAUGGUGGGGGUUGGAAAGUUUCGGCGGUUGGGGAUGGACUCGCGGCUUAUCAGCUUGUUGGUGGGGAAGUGGCUUACCAAGGCUUUGACGGGUAGCCGGCCUGAGAGGGUGACCGGCCACAUUGGGACUGAGAUACGGCCCAGACUCCUACGGGAGGCAGCAGUGGGGAAUAUUGCACAAUGGGCGGAAGCCUGAUGCAGCAACGCCGCGUGCGGGAUGACGGCCUUCGGGUUGUAAACCGCUUUCGCCUGUGACGAAGCGUGAGUGACGGUAAUGGGUAAAGAAGCACCGGCUAACUACGUG